rnacentral:tRNA from 1 species
AGCCCCGUAGUGUAGCGGUCAAAUCUUACGAGGCCAAUCAUGCGAGGCUCUGGACCUUGCGACCCAGGUUCGAAUCCUGGCGGGGCUA